CCAACACUGGAGCCUACCCAGGCAUUUUGGUGGGGCUAAUGGCGGACUCUGGGAGGGCUCACGCCAAGGAGUACUUCCCAGAACUUCUGCUGCCAGUGUCCUUGUCCUCACAGUGAGCCACAGCCACCCCCUGCCUCUGCGGGAGACCCUCCAACACCAGCAGGACCCAGCGCUGCUCUUCCAUCUCUAUGGCAAUGAGCUGAGCUGAGGGGCUCCCAGCUUCCCUCACCUUACAGCAAUGGAUAAACCUCAUUAAGCCAAGACAAGAGAACUGGGUCAUGCCCUGCUCAUGCCAAGCAGGGGCUUGUGAAUGAAGCAGGCUGUUGAAUUUCAGACAUAAGAAAUAAUCUGCUCCUUGCACCCGCCUGAUCACUUUAUUAGCACAAAAGAUAAAUUUAAACCUCUGACUUAUGACAAAAGGAAGUAAGUCUGCACUAUCCUCCUAAUUAAACCAAGAGAAGCCAGCUAGAUGCAAGGACACCAGGCCCACUCAAUUAAUUAACAUUUAUUACAAUCAGAAAAUAAUCUAAUUCAAUUAAAAUGUCUCCACAAAAGCGGUUUAAUGACUUUCCCCAAAAUAAAGUACAUUCGACUGGAGCAUUUAUUAUGCCAGGGACCAGUAUCAUUCAUGAGGGAGCUGAAAUGACAGCCCUGAUGUGGCUCUGUGGAAAGGGGAGGACAGGGCAGGCGGGGCCGGGGAGGGCUUGGCCGAGCCUCUCGUCAAGAGAGAGGGGAUGCUUCUGGACAGCAACCCUCUAGUGAAGAGGCAGGCCCAGAGCCAGAGGAGCUGCCCACAGCUGCCUUCACCCUCACCCCCACUUCCUGCUUCAGACCCCUUCCCUCCUGCCAGCUCAUCACUGUGCCUGGUACCCCCUUCCCCUUAUAGGAUCAAGCUUGGGUAAGGUAAGGAAUUAAGGGGCAGGCUUGGAUUCAGGAGCCUGAGCCCCUUUCUGCCUGUGUCACCUUGGGCAGGUAGGAGGUGUUUAGAGAAAGGACUGUUAGCAGGGCUUUCUGAAACUUAGCCAGGAGAUAUUUGCAAAGCUGGAGAAACUGCCAUUUGAAAGCUGCAAGCAGUUUUCUGACUCUCACGAGGCAGAGAUUUGAAUUCAUAGUGCCUUUGUUCAGCAAAAAUCCCUUGGUGGGUCCUUAGUUAUAAAAACAGAAAGCAAAUACUUGGAGCUCAUCCUUCGGAGCUAACAAUAUCUGAGCACGUACUAUUGCCAGGCAGAGGGCUAAACACAUUUGUUGGACUACGUCCUUUAAUCCUCACAACAACCCUGCAAGUUAGAACUCUCCAUUGAAACCGAGGCUCAAAGUGUGCCUGAGGACCACGGUUAGUUAGAGGCGAACCCUGGAUCCAAACCCGGGCAGCCAGACUCAGGGCAGAGAGGCCCCCAGCAAGCUCAGAAUAAC